CAUGUGCCUCCUGCUUGUGAUGAGAGAGAGAAACAGGCAGAGAGAGGACUUAGAGAUGGCUAGGCAGGAUCUGAAAACCGGAAUGUUCUGUGAGAGGGGCAGUUCUCUGCUGGGAUCAGGAGCUGGGUCAUUGGGCAGUGCUGCCUGGCUCCUGCAGGGCUUCUCGGCCCGACACCCAGAUCCUUGCAACCAGAACUGCCUGCAGCAGACCAUCCCCAGGGGCUGCGGUGGGCAGGGAAGGCUGAGCUGGAGGCCCAGCUUCUGCAGGGGUGCAGGCACCCCCCCACCGACCCCCUCCCUGAGUACCCAGGGCAGCUGACCUUGAAAAGCCCUUCAGAGGGACAAGUACUCACCCCUGCAGGGCCCGGAGUGGGGGCUGGGGGUCCCAGGGUGAUAAUUCAUGGAGUGUGAGUGGGGCUUGGGCAGGGGGGUUGUGGUUGAAAUAUAGUCCCCGGGUCCUGCCUCCGACAGCCUGCCUCUCUCCCAUUACCCUGGUGCCUGCAGUGAUAAAUCCUGGCCACCGGAGUCUGGGUGCCCCGCUGCGGCCACCCUGGGGCCUACUCCAGCCCUCCCUCCCCUCGGAGUGGACUCUGGGCCUUCUCCCCUCCGUGCAGUCCCUCCUGUCCCUGCUUCUGCAGGACAGAGGAGCCAGGUGCCCUACGGCUCUGUUCUGGGCUACACUGUGCGCCCCCUGCACUCAUGUGCAGAAACCCUAGCCCCCAGCACCUCAGGAUGGGGCUGUAUUUGGAGAUGGGGUUUUUAUUGUAAUUUAUUUAUUUAUUUGGAUUUUAUUUAUUUAUUUGAGACAGAAAGAGAGCACAAGCAGGGGGAGCAACAGAGGGAGAAGCAGGCUUACUCCCAGGACCCUGACAUCAGGACCUGAGCCGAAGGCAGAUGCUUAACCAAGUGAACCUCCCAUGCGCCCCCGGAGAGGGGGUUUUUAGGGAGAUAAUUAAGUAGCAGGAGGUCACUAGGGUAGCCCCUCAUCCAGGGUGCCUGGGGUCCUUACAAGAAGAGGAAAUUUGGACAUAGACUUGCCUGGAAGGAGGGAGCCAUGGAAACAUGCAGACGGCUGUGCCCACCGGCCACGCACCAAGGCCACACAAGAAUCCAGGCUGCCAGCAUCCUGCCCUGGACUCCCAGCCUCCAGGACCAUGGGGGAUAAGUCGCCACCAUUUAAGCUGUGAGGUCAGCAGUGGCCGGAGCCCAUGACCUCGGCCCUGGGACCUGGGCGCCAGCUCAGAAUGCACCCCUGCAGCUCGCGCUCGUCCGAGUGGUCACUUGCCAGCUUUCUUUCCUUAACUGCACAGCCGAAUUUUCCAGGUGAAACCUUACAGGGCUCCGCAUUCCGUGUAACGGAAAAGCAGGGUCGGUCUGGUGGCCGGGUGCCGUGGGAGGGGCUCCCUGGCUCCUUUGUUUGGCAUCCUCAUUUUCACCUAACCUCUGGUGGCCCUGGGCACCACUUUGGGGCCCCCUGGGGGAUGCUUCAAACCCCACCACCCAGAGGAGUGAUACUCAUUUUGCAGAAGACCUGUCAGUGUGGGACGGGCAGGAGCAACCCCUGCAGAGAAAUGUGGGGAAUGCAUCACUUCCUCCCCGCUGGGUGCUGCUAUGACUGGGUGUCAUCGCUAUAGAGAACCAGUCCCGUAUGGGGCCGGGAGCUGCAUUCUGGAACGGCACCCUGGGUUUACAGGCGGUGCCGGGGUCCAAGUCCCCUCCUCCCUACGUGCUGGCUGAGUGCCGUUUGAACAAGUCCCCUGAGCUUAUGAGCCACAUUCUCUCUGUCAGGUGGGAGAAGAUGCUGAGAAUGUGAGCCUGCAGGGAACCUGGCAAGUUUCGGAGCCAGACAGGUCUGUGCACGAACCCAACUCUGCUGCCUCUUAGCUGUGUGGCCUCGGGUGUGCAGUGUAGUGAUUCAACAGCUCUAUACAUUACUCAGUGCUCUCAUCAUGAGGAAGGCAUGGGGAUGAGCUGCCCGGAGCUAGCUGGCAGCAGCCGGGAGCUCAGCAGGAGCGGCCCCCCAGCCCUAGAAAAGAGGCCCAGGAAGCACAUGGCAAACAGCAGAGAGGAAGAUGGGCAGGUGUCGGCCCUGAGCUCCCACCAGUGACACUUCUAGCCUUGAAAACCUCAAAGAAAGCCCCCCACGGCUGCCUGAACCAUGUGGGUCAGUGCUCGAAUGUGAUCUGCUCCUUGGUUCCUCGUGUCCCUGUGUUGUGCCCAAGAUUGCGAACCCGAGAAACCACCAAGGAGCCGACACCGAUGCAAGCGCACGAGGGUUUAUUAGGGUCCAAGUAUACCUGACACAGCGGAGCAGGGACUUGGACCCCUAAGUGGGUUACAGCUGGGUUUUUUAUAGGCUGGUCUAGGGGAUUUUCAGAAGGGGUGGAGGUAUUUCUCAAGUUCUGUUUACAUUCUGAUAGGGCAUUGAGCUCUGUUCUCAUUCUAAUAUGGGGCUUUCUACCACCGGUGUGGGCUCUGUUGUCUUUCUGAUAUGGGAUUCCCUGCCGAGGACAUUCUGCAGUUUUUCCUGUAAAGUUCAGCUCUUAUUCACAGGGGCCUACGAUGGCUGUACUUGUGCUAAUGCUAAACUUUAGGUGGAAUGGCCUUAAUUUUUCUCGGCCUCCAUACCUGUCUGUCUACGAGGGAGGAAAGAUCACAGACAGGCCCGCCGCAUAGGGCGGUGUCUCCAAAGCAUGGAUCCCCACCAGCAGCCCUUGAGCAUCACUAGGAGCUGCUCAGAAGUGCACAUCCCGGGCCCCACCCCAGGGACCCCUGCAUCAGACACUGACCCCUGACAAGCCCUCCAGGUGAGUCUGAUCUGUGGGUGACCUGCACCCUGGGAUCCCUUGGCUUUCAAGCCUCGGUUGGGGGACCGCACCCCAGACCGAUUGCAUCAGGCCCUCUGGGGUUGGGACCUGCACCUGUGGUUGAUUCCAAUAUAACCAAGGUCAAGCCCAGUGGUGUAGUGGAAAGUGGUCUUGGGGUCCGCCAGACUCAAGUUCAACUCCCAGCUUUCGCACUCGCUGGCUGUUUGACCCUGGGCAAGGCACACCCCUUUUCUGGCCCACAGGAGCUCAUGUUCUGGAGAAGUGAGCUCAUCUGUCCCGCCUUACAGAAUUGUUUGAAAAUUGGACAAAGCGUCCCGUGCAUGGAAGCACCUAGAACAAUAUCUGGCGCCCCGAGAGUGUUCGGCACAUGAUGGUUCCCCUUUCUCUGCUCCUUCUGUUGUACUGCGGGAUAUUUCCAGAAUGGGAACCACAUCAUAGUUACCCUUGCAUCCCCAGGGAAUAAUGGACUCGUGUGCGUCCCACACUUCGGGGAGAGAGCUGGGGCAGCGGGCGUGUGACACACGGCACUUGUGGACUUCUUCCCCCACAGCCUGGCUGCGAUGAGCUCCGUGACCUUUCUCUGUGUCAUCUCAACUAAGGUCAACCCCGAUGUCUGUUUAAAUUACAAACGCUCAGUCUCCCUGACCUUUAGGAACCUAUGCUGGUAAAAACAGAAUGCUAGAAUAUGUAUGCCCAGAUACUUGUUGGUGCGUUGUCUGCCCCGGGGUAAUAACUGGAAACAUAACUUUAGGGAUGCCUGGGUGGCUCAGUGGGUGAGCAUCUGCCUUCGGCUCAGGGUGUGAUCCCAAGGUCCUGGGAUCAAGUCCCGCAUCGGGCUCCUCCCCGCAGGGAGCCUGCUUCUCCCUCUGCCUGGGUCUCUGCCUCUCUCUCUCUGUGUCUCUCAUGAAUAAAUAAAUAAAAUCUUAAAAAAAAAGAGA